UACGGAGGAUGCAAGCGUUAUCCGGAAUGAUUGGGCGUAAAGAGUCCGUAGGUGGCAAUUCAAGUCUGUCGUCAAAGGUCACAGCUUAACUGUGAAAAGGCGGUGGAAACUGAACAGCUAGAGAAAGGUAGGGGCAGAGGGAAUUCCCGGUGUAGCGGUGAAAUGCGUAGAGAUCGGGAAGAACACCAGUGGCGAAAGCGCUCUGCUGGACCAAUUCUGACACUGAGGGACGAAAGCUAGGGGAG
rnacentral:rRNA from 1 species